rnacentral:rRNA from 1 species
UACGUAGGUGGCAAGCGUUGUCCGGAUUUAUUGGGCGUAAAGCGAGCGCAGGUGGUUUAUUAAGUCUGGUGUAAAAGGCAGUGGCUCAACCAUUGUAUGCAUUGGAAACUGGUAGACUUGAGUGCAGGAGAGGAGAGUGGAAUUCCAUGUGUAGCGGUGAAAUGCGUAGAGAUUAGGAAGAACACCAGUGGCGAAGGCGAUUCUCUGGACUGUAACUGACGCUGAGGCUCGAAAGCGUGGGGAGCAAACAGG